AGCUGCAAAAUCCUAGGUGCUGGCAAUGAUGUUUUCCAGGGGUACCUGGUUUUACAUGGUGCCAUCCAGGAGUGCGAUGCUGUAGCUGGCAGAAAUGACAUUCGCAAUGGGAGAUAAGAGACCAGACUUCCUUAAAGCUUUCAACAUUCACAAACUCAUCUAAUUGUUCAGGACAUACUGAGUAUCUGCACUUACAGAAAUCAAGCUCAGGUGGAACUCCCUUGAAAGCAAGGCACCGGGAAGCCAAGAUGGGUUUUCAGAAACUUCUACACCCCGUAUUGCCCUUCCCUCCCCUGCUGCUACCAGCCCAGGGGAUGAGUCCACCCCAAAAAGGCCAACGUAGCCCUGGAAGUGGAGAGCUACUCAAUGCAGACAGCCCAGCCAGUGGUGCCUUCCUACUGAUAGGACCGAAUCCCAGCACGGAGCCAUCGCCACAGGCAGGAGGAUGACAAACAGGAGGCACAACAGGUACAAGGCAGAAAUCCGUCUUAAAUUCACUUGACUCGUCAGCUGUUUUAUGGGCCUUGUUGUCGCUGCUCGCACACUUGUAUUCUGCUGGUGUCAGUACAGCAACUUCACUGAAGUCCUCCUGUGUAAGAGCACUUCAGGCCCUCCAGAC
rnacentral:lncRNA from 1 species